rnacentral:rRNA from 1 species
AUGAACAUUACAACUCUCUUUGAUUUUCUUGAUGUUUCCUCUUUUGUCUGGUCUGAAAUAAUAUGUCUUGUCUAUAUAUUCUACUCUGCAUCAUCAUUUUCUUCUAUAUUACUGAUAGGAGAAUAUUGUAAUGGCACUUCAUUAGUUAGCGGUAAUAGACACAACUCCAGUCAUACCAUGUUAGUACAAUUAAUUUAUUUCAAUUCCAAACAUGUAUCAGUUGCAGAAGAUGUGGCACGAGUUGGUGGGCAGCUGGCUGUAGCCGUAGCAAGAGCAUUCAGAGACAUGAGCUGCUAUCCGUACACACGUCUUACACACCCGCACUUCUUCCUUAUAUUGCAUGGAUCCGACUAA